UGGUUCUGGCAUCGAUGAAGAACGCAGCGAAAUGCGAUAAGUAAUGCGAAUUGCAGAAUUCGGUGAAUCAUCGAAUCUUUGAACGCACAUUGUGCCCCUCAGCACUCUGGGGGGCAUGCCUGUCCGAGCGUCAUUACAACCCUCAAGCGCUGCCGCUUGGUGUUGGGUGCCACCUUGGUGCACCCCAAAAGCAGUGGUGGGACCACCCGGCCGCAAGCAUAGUAGCAACUCAGCUUGUAGUGCCCGGGUGUAGGCCUGCUGUCUUCCUCUGUUAGAGAGUUGACCUCGGAUCAGGUAGGGUUACCCGCUGA
rnacentral:misc_RNA from 1 species